rnacentral:hammerhead_ribozyme from 1 species
GUACUGCUGAAGAGUCCCAAACCAGGACGAAACAGCUGCCCAGUAC